ensembl:processed_transcript
AGAAGACAGCUCUGGGUGUGUUUCCAUGUGAGUGCCUCUUCAGAGACUGUAGCAGGGGCCGCACCGGCUUUGCCAUUGGAGCCCGCGGCUGGCGGGGCCCCGCAGCGUCUCCCGGGGCCGCCCCCGCGCAGCGAGUCGAGCGGGCACACGCGGAAACACAGCUGUACAGAACCACGGCUGGGCGAGCGUUCGCACACCACACGCACACAGCUACUACACCCAGACCUUUCAAGACCCGGGUUGGUCUCCCAGCACCUUGAUCUUACAGAACCGACAUUCCACACCACUCCCUGGAGACCAGGGCAAGCCUAAGAGAAUCAGACACAGGACACACACUGUGUGUGUGUGUCAUAAGUCACAACAUUCAAAUGACACUGCCCUCAGCAUAGACUCCCUGGAAACCACGUGCAAGGCAUACACAAGUCAGCAGCAUGGAGCCCCGACACAGUGACCACAAGACCCACUCGAGUGUGCCAGUCACGCACUGCACUGUAGAGUUAACAGUGUAAAAGUGAUAGUCACACUGACUAUGAUAGACCAUGUGCACAAACUCGACAAAUACGUAAAGGGCAAGCUUAAGACAGAUCUCGUGGAUAGGUCUCCAAUCAGAUAAGAUCUCCCUCCGGGAGAAAAAAACCAGAGUGUCCUCAACCAGACGUACUCUUGGCGCCAGAGCUUGAGAUAGUGUCGGCCAACACCCCCUACCUGCAUCCCUGCUUUCAAUCUGGACUGCCCCCUGCACCUGCUCGCAUGGCCCCCUGCAGACACACCCUGCUGGGAUGAGUGCAUUCCUGGUGUGGCUGCUCUUUCCUCCCUGUUCAUUUUUCAGGGGUCACAUUGGCCCUCUGCUCCCUAGGGUGUGGGCAGUCUGUCCUGCAGUUCCCGUCUGCCUUCCACCUUUGCCCCUCAGCUUGAGAAACAGGAGUCCUCUUCCACAUGCCCACAUUCCCCUCUACCCCUGGGUCUUACUGCUUCUGGUCCUCCUGGGGAUUUGACCCACAGCAGAAUCUGGCUGAGCCUGGAAAGGAAGUUGGUAGCAGCUCCACCAGACAGGCUCGUCCAGCCUAAGAAGGCAUAGCUGCACAUCACUUUCUGCAGAGAUAAACCCUCUCUGUGCAGGAAGCUCUGUCAUGAGCCUCUAGGCUGGCCAGAGGCACCUUUAGGAUUCCAGGGACAGAGAGAACAGAGCGAGCCUGGCUCUGUGGCUCACGGGCUGGCGCCACCCAUUCCUGGAUGUGAGGCUGAGUGUGUCGCUUUAGUUGUCCAGCUGUUGGGAAGGUUAGAGGCACUGUAUGCAAAGCCCCUGUUUCCCAUGGGUGGGCAGAAGGUAAAUAGCUUGCUUCGUCCAGUCUGUAUUCAUCCACUGUUUUCUUAUGUAGGGCUACAACUGGCUUUGGGCACAAAGGCAAGUAAGAGAAAUGGGGCCCGCAGUCUGGUGAGGCAGCCAGUACAGGGGUAACACUUUUAUAUAAAAAAGAUCUUUAGCAUAGAAUUAGGGAAUUGUUGCUGUGAGGCCAGUUCUGCCUCUGAGCAGGGGGAUUGUGGGUAAGCUAGCCCCCAAGGUUUAUUUAUAUACCCUGUCCUAUCUGUUCCAAAGCGGUGGCAACUAGAUAGAGGUUAACAUGGGGCUCAAGAAGGAGCAGGUGUUUUGGUAAAUGAGAAGGUGUUGACAUACUAAAGACUGUAAUGUCACAAGGAAGGUUGUAUGUCAUUCGCAGUGGUUUACAGGCUAAGAUCCAUGGAGAAACUGGCAUUUGGACAGGAUGCAGAAACAGAGAGGCCCAUAUUUCAGGAGGAGGGAAUUUCAGGAGGGACUGA